GUAUUGAGCAUAACCGCAUGGAAAAUGGGAAAAUAUUUUGCUUUUGCGAUUUUUAGAUGUUUAAAUUCGCAGUAGAAUGGUUACUAAUGUUUUAUUAGGUACAAAACGAUUCUACUUAUAAACUCAUCUCUAAUUUUAUCAGUGAAACUGUACAGUGUUCAGAGCAAAGACGGCUUUACGUUACAAUUUAUUACUAUUAGUAUUCGAAGGAGUAAGGAAUAAAGUUAGUGAACAAGGAAAUCCACUUGUAGGUUUAACAUUGGUCAUGAGUUGUAAAGAACUUCAAGAGGAAGAGCUUGAAGUUUUGA